rnacentral:lncRNA from 1 species
AACAACUAGAUAGUCAGAUCCCACACAUACCAAGCAUUUCAAUCAUACAAACAAUAUGCUCGAUAUGUGCAAAUACAACAUGGCAUCACAACAUGACUCUACAACUCAAGUACUUUAUUUAAAGGCUCAGAGAGCCAUACAUAUCAUACACACAAGUACGGGUCACACGACCCAGCAUUCAAGUCAUACAAACAUACAAGCCAACAGCGGAAGUAACUUGUCUGAGUAUAGACAACUAGGAAAUAAAAGAGGCUUGAUAAAGCCUGACUAUACUACACGGUCCAUCAUGAGCUCAGGAUCACCACCUGGGCUUCAGCCUACUCAUUGACAUCGACGUCUAUGAAGAACCCAUCAGAAGGGGUUGCAGUGUCUUUUGUAAAACGUAAAUUAAGCAACAUGAGUACAAAGGUACUCAGCAAGACUUACAUCAGAUCCUACAUACAUGCACAUUAUCAAGAAGGGAUGGUGGGGUUAUUGCAGCAAGCCAGCUUUGACUCUUGGCUAGGCUAUCUUAGGAGACUCCAACUAAUGGUUUUGCGCACUCGAGUCCACUACACACCACUUUAAUACACUACCAAGGAUCCACCUCCGUCAUCCUACGGAAGAGCCAUCCUCGGCACUCAUGCUUAUCUUGAGGCUUUUAGUAGUAUCCAUUAACUUGUCUAUGAACUGUAUAGGCAACCAAGUAGUCCUUUACCGCGGACGCGGCUAUUCAAAUAGAUGAUGUUAACCUUGCAGGGGUGUACCUCCUCAUACAUGUUUCCACCACUUAGCGUCUGCACACGACAUGUGCUCGGCAGACUUCAAGCGUAAUCCGACGUGGGUGUAGACCACGACCUACCUAAACACCUAAAUCUCUAGUCCAGGUUUAUCGCCUAUUCAGGUUCCAUCUGCAGGGAGUCUGACCGAGGUUUCCACAUAUGGCCCUGAACAAUGUGUACAGGGUUCCGAGACACCUAACGGGUGCCCGGCAUACCCGACCACGUACCUACCGCAUCACAGCCCACCCCGCGGGUCAGCGCUGCCCACGGCCUCGAGUAAGGUGCAAACACCAGAAACUACUUGCAACUCCUAGACAGAGGACUAGGGUGGAUAAGAAGUCGAGCGAGUCAAUUAAGGAUCCCAAUGUAUGGUAGUAGCUGAUUCUUAAAUCACAUAUACAGAUCUUGGUGCUUAAGGACUGUUCCAAUGAAACAACCCACCAUGUACUCCUACAUGGCCUCUCAUCGAUACCUUUACCAAAUCGUGUUCAACACAUCACUCUCAUUACCGACAUGAUCAUUUUACUCUAGCCCAUCACCUAGAUGAACCAAACCUGACACGACUCUAAGCAUAGCAGGCAUAGCAAGGUAGGAAACACAUACAUAUGGGUCAAUCAACUCCUACACAUACUAGUGGGUUUCAUCUAGUUACUGUGGCAAUGACAGGUCAUGCAGAGGAAAUGGGUUCAACUACCGUAGCACACAGUAGUGUGAAACGCGUUGUCUUAAUGCAGUAAAAGAGAGAAGAGGUGAGAACUUGGGAUUGUAUCGAUAUGAUUAAAUGGUUGGUUGCUUGCCUUGCGGGUCCGUGGACUGGUAUUGCUCCUCGCUAGGAUACUCACGAUACUCUUCAGGGGCAGAACCUGCCGCAGAGAGCACCGAUAUACAAUCAUCACCAAACAAUGUGCAACAAUAUGAUGCAUGCAUGAGACAUGGCAAAAUGAGUGUAUUGGGCUAAUGCAACUAAGACCAUAUGGGUUUGAACCAUUUUCAAUCAAAGAUUCAAGUUCCAAGCCCAUAUAUGGCCCUUAAUAGUGCUUUAUCAUGUUCUGCACUAAACAGCAGGUUAUCUUGCUUAAACAUGCAUGAAACCAGUAAAGAUGGAUAGAUUGAAUUUUUCUGAUCAUUUUUCAUAUAUAACACUUUGCAUUUGGAGCUACAGAUUAAUUUAUAUGGAUUUUUGAAGUUUGUAGCAAUUUCUGGAAUUUCCUAUAUAAGAAUAAAUCCAGUAAUUGAGUUAUUGCGUCAGCAUUGCGUCAGGGUGACGUCAGCAGUCAACGGGGACGGUCCAGGUCAAACCUGACCAGUUGGUCCUGUGUGUCAGUGUCAUUAGACUAACUAAUUUUAAUUAAUACUAACCCUAGGUUAAAUAGCUGGGCGGGCCCCACCUGUCAUUGACCCAGGGGGGGUCAAACUGGGCCCACCCGGGGUCAAAUACGGUCAACAGGGUCAAACUCGCCAGCGUUUAGCCGCUGGCAAGGCCAAACGCGGCGGGGCAGUGUGGGAUUUGUGCUCCAACGACCAAAAGGGCGGCGGAGGGCAUCCACAUGUAGCUAGGGACGAGCCGCAUCCAGUGGUGGUGGUGGUUGGGCUCGGGGUGGCCGGAAACGGUGCCGACGACGACCUUGGCGGCUGCCGGAGCUCGGGCGAGCUCGGGCUCGUCGCUAGGAGGCACGGCGAUGUACGUGGAGUGGUGCGGUGGCCUCCUGGGGGUGCGGUGAGGUUAACGGGCAGGGUGGCGAGGCCGUCACGUGGCCGGAGUCUCGUCGGCGACGAGCUCAGCGGCGGUGUGUGCGGUUGAGCUUCGUGCGGUCGCUAUGGUGCUCGAGAGAGGGAACGGAGAGGAUGGGGAGGUAGCUAGGCUCACGGUGGUCAUGGCGGGGUAGACGGCGAGGUCGGGAACGAGCUACUGCAGCGGUGACGGUGAAAGGGAUCUCCGGCGACGGUCGGUGAAGACGGGGUUGGUGGAGGCGGUGCAGAGCGUGCGAGUGCUCGGGGCUCGGCUAGCUCGACGGAGCGGACGACGGCGGGGCUCGUGAACACGGUGGAGCGGCGCGAGGACGGUGGUGGGUGCGGCUAUGGCGGCGGUGCGGCGGCAGCAACUUCGGACAUGGCGGGAGAGGGCGAGAGAGAGGACGGGGGGAGAAUGAGAUGUCAAGGGGCUCGGGGUGGCGCCGAGGAGGCCCUUCGAGGCGUCGCACUGGCGCGGGCGACACAGGCAGGUAGGGAGGUGGCGUGGCAAGCUCGGCGACGUCGCGGUGUCGCUCCUCUGCCUACUGGCAGAGGUGGGUUGUGACUGGCACGAGCGAGGUGGGCCGGCCCAGUGCAGGUAAGUGGCCACUGGCCUUUCUCUCUCUCUCUCUCUCUUGUCAUUUAAUUUGUUUUUCUAAUUUUCUGUAACUGUUUGGCAUUAUUUAAAAUAGCUAGGCAUUUCCAAAAAUCCUGGAAAUAAUUAGGGGCUUUGUUUAGAUUAUUUCCAACAGCCCGCACUUAUUUCCAGAAUUAUUUGAGCAUUUAAAAUAUUUUAUACCAUUUUAAAUGCCCAAACUCAAACAGCUCAUGAUUUAAUCCAGUGACCUUAUGUGUCCUAGAAAAAUGUGAACCAAUUUUGGCAGAGGUUCUAUCCCAAGACAAAAAUGAUGGGCAUUUUAGAAGGGCAUUUCAGGUUCAUUGAAAUUAUUUUUUAGUAAACCCUAGUUCGUUUCACGGGGGCUGGGGGUUCUGUCAUCCCCAUUUCAAGUUUCUGAUGAAGGAUAAGCAUGAUGCAACACUCUAAUGCAUGAACUAGCUAGGGUGUGACAACUCACCCCCACUCAGAAAAAUCUCGUCCCGAGAUUUAGGAUCCUCCGGAAAGAAGGCGAGAUACUCGAGUCAAAGACGAUCCUCCCUUUCCCAAGUUGCUUCUUUCUCGAAAUGGUGCGACCAUUGAACCUUGAGAAACUUGAUAUUAUGACGUCGAGUGGUACGCUCGGCUUGAUCGAGGAUACGAACAGGGUAUUAUCAAUAUGUGAGAUUAUCUUGAAGAUCAAGCGUUUCGUGGUCCACUCCACGGAUAGGAUCCGAGAAGCAACGCCUGAGUUGAGAGACGUGGAAGACAUCGUGGACUCUGGAGAGAUGCGGAGGUAGUUCCAAUUGGUAGGCAACUUCUCCUCGUUUGGCAAGAAUGCGAAAGGGUCCAAUGUAGCAAGGAGCCAAUUUGCCUUUGAUACCAAAACGAUGGGUUCCCUUCAGAGGAGUAACACGAAGGUAAGCCUUCUCGUCAACCUCAGAAGUCAUAGCCUUAUGUUUUCGGUCAUAUUGGCUCUUUUGACAAGAUUGGGCUGUUUUCAACUUUUCAUGAAUGAUGCAAACUUGCUCUUCUGCUUCCUAGAUGAUAUCCGGGCCAAAGAAUUGUCUUUCCCCGGUUUCUGACCAGUUAAGAGGCGUUAGACACCUUCGUCCAUAGAGAACUUCAAAAGGGGCUUUACCCAAGCUAGAUUGAUAGCUGUUGUUAUAAGCAAAUUCGACAAAUGGAAGGCAUUUCUCCCAAUCCAUUCUGAAUGAGAUAACAGAAGCUCGAAGCAUGGCUUCUAGAAUCUGGUUGACGCGUUCUACUUGGCCACUUGAUUGAGGGUGAAAGGCGGUGCUAAAGGAAAGGCGGGUUCCCAUAGCAUUUUGGAAACUUUCCCAAAAUCGAGAGGUGAAGAGACUUCCUUGAUCCGAGUUAAUUUCCAAAGUAACACCAUGGAGGGACACUAUCCGGGACAUAUAUAAGUCUGCUAGCUGGCUAGCGGUUAUACUCUCACGAAUAGGCAAGAAAUGGGCCACUUUGGAAAGACGAUCGACAACGACAAAGAUAGCAUUAUUCCCUUUCUUGGUCCUGGGAAAACCGGUGAUGAAAUCCAUACCAAUUUUAUCCCAUUUCCAUUCAAGAAUAGCUAAGGGUUGAAGGGUGCCAACAGGCCGUUGAUGCUCUGCUUUUACAUGACGGCAGACGUCGCAAUUAGCAACAAACUGAGCAAUGUCUCUAUUCAUCCUAGUCCACUAGAACCUCUGGCGUAGGUCCUGAUACAUCUUGGUGCUACCGGGAUGAAUGCUGAGAGGAGAUUCAUGAGCUUCCUUAAGUAUCAACUGUCGUAGUUGCCGCUUCAUGGGAACCACUAAGCGGUUUCCGAAGUACACGACACCUUUAUCAUUCACGGAGAAACAUGUAGCAACUCCGCUAGCAAUGUUCUCCUUGAUCUGAGAUAUCCCCUUGUCAUACUGCUGAGCGGUUAUGAUAUGAUCCGUAAGGGUAGGUUUCGCCACCAAGGUGGAAAGGAAUCCUUGAGGAACAAUGUGAAGGUUAAGCUUCCGAAAUUCCUCAUGGAGAAGUGGUUGACUUUGUUGUAACCUCAGAUUGUUACAAUAAGAUUUACGACUUAGUGCAUCAACCAUGACAUUGGCUUUACCUGGGGUGUAAGUUAUCCCUAAGUCAAAAUCUGUGAUCAACUCGACCCAACGUCUUUGCCUGAGAUUCAAAUCCGGUUUGGUGAAUAUAUACUUCAGACUUUGGUGAUCGGUGAAGAUUUCGCAAUGAUUACCGAGGAGGUAAUGUCGCCAGGUUUUGAGUGCAAGGACUACAACUCCAAGCUCUAGAUCAUGUGUAGGAUAAUUUUUCUCAUGUAGGUGCAGUUGCCGUGAAGCAUAAGCAAUUAUGUGACGAUCUUGCAUGAGAAUGCAACCUAGUCCUUGUCGCGAGGCGUCGCAAUAGAUAACAAAGUUGUAACGCCCCGUUUUCGUUGCGCCAGGUGUCUGCCAGUUAUUCGCCGUCGUUGUCAUGUCAUUUGCUUGCGUGUUGCAUUUUAUCAUGUAAUCAUGUGCAUUUCAUUUUGCAUAUGUGUUCGUCUCAUGCAUCCGAGCCUUUUCCCCAUUGUCCGUUUUGCAAUCCGACGCUCCUAUGCCCUCCGGCGUUCCCCUUUUGUCUCUCAUUGUGAGCGGGUGUUAAACGUUCUUGGAAUGGACCGAGUCUUGCGAAGCGGCCUUGGUAUACCACCGGUAGACCGCCUGUCAAGUUUCGUGCCAUUUGGAGUCCGUUUGAUACUCCAACGGUUAACCGCGUAGCCCGAAACCCCCCUUUCUCUUUGCAGCCCAACACCCUUCCAAAGUGGCCCAAAACCUAUCUAACUCCCUUCCAUGCUCUCGGUCGUUCGAUCAUGAUCGUGUGGGCGAAAACCGCUCCUCAUUUGGACUCUCCUAGCUCCCAGAAUCUAUAUAUAGGCCCUCUUCCCCGAAAUUUCGCAGACGAAACCCUAGCCCCUUCUCCAACGCGCCGCCGGACAUGUCCAUCCGCGCCGGACAUGUCCGGCGGACAUGUCGCCCGGCCCAAUCAGGGCGUGCCACGUCAUCGCGCCGCCGCCCCCGCCCAACCAGCGCCUGCCAUGUGUCGACCGCGCCUCUCUCUCUCCUCCCCGCCGUCGCGGCACGCGGAGCCCAUCCGGGGCACGCGCAGGCCCGCGCCGCCGCCCGCCGCCGCCCNNNNNNNNNNNNNNNNNNNNNNNNNNNNNNNNNNNNNNNNNNNNNNNNNNNNNNNNNNNNNNNNNNNNNNNNNNNNNNNNNNNNNNNNNNNNNNNNNNNNNNNNNNNNNNNNNNNNNNNNNNNNNNNNNNNNNNNNNNNNNNNNNNNNNNNNNNNNNNNNNNNNNNNNNNNNNNNNNNNNNNNNNNNNNNNNNNNNNNNNNNNNNNNNNNNNNNNNNNNNNNNNNNNNNNNNNNNNNNNNNNNNNNNNNNNNNNNNNNNNNNNNNNNNNNNNNNNNNNNNNNNNNNNNNNNNNNNNNNNNNNNNNNNNNNNNNNNNNNNNNNNNNNNNNNNNNNNNNNNNNNNNNNNNNNNNNNNNNNNNNNNNNNNNNNNNNNNNNNNNNNNNNNNNNNNNNNNNNNNNNNNNNNGCAUCGCGCCUUCCCCGCCGCCUGGCCGGAGCGCCGCACCCGCCGCCGGCCGGAUCCGGCUGGAUCCGGUCCGGGGCCAUCUCCCCGCAUCACCCGCGACCUCCCCCGUCAACUCCGGCAUUGCUCCGACGAACCCCGAUCUGGAUCUGAGAUCCGACAAGGUUGACUUUCCCCCCUCCAAAAUUCGUCCAAGUCCCGAAUAUUUUUUUGUCAUUAUCAUGCCAUGUUCAUCGCAUCGUAUCUCUGCAUCCGUAGCUCCGUUUUGUGCGUGUAAUAUGUCAAAUUGUUCGUAUCAACGAGUACAUCAUUUCAUUCCAUUGUACCAUAUUCAUUUGAGGUCAUCUAGAUGCCUAAAUAGUCGUUGUAAGAGUGCUUCAUGAUGUUUUCUGCUGUCUGUUAACAGAACGAGCUCUUUUGUCAUUUUUGCCAUGAUUGAUGUGUGCAUCCUAUGAGGUUGAUGUCUACAUGUGUUUUGAUCUAUGUCAUGUCUUAUUUAUAGUGGUGUAUGUCAUGUAUUUUUGUGAUCAAUGUGGUGACUAGCACAAACAUGCAAACUAGACAUCGUGAUGUUGCUGAUUUUACUCCCUGUUCUGCUGUUAUUUUGAUGCCAUGUAAACAUGAUGCUACAGAGAGAUCCAUGCAUAUUUUGAGAUACUUCAGUAAGGGUGUUUUGAACAUAUGGUUGUUGUCUAUCCAUUCAUGCCCUUGGUUACAAUUAUGGAGUAGUCUAGCAUGUCUUUUUCGUGCUCUACUUUUGCUUCAAAAUGUAUCCUGGCAGAUUGUUUACGUGUUAUUCAAUUUUGCCAAGGUUGUUGUAGUUGAUCCUUGCAUGAUAUGAACUUGUUCUUACCUUGAUUUGUUUCACAAACAUGCCUUCUUACUGUUGGUUGCCUUGCCAUGCCAUGUAUUGCUCUGUGGUGAGUGGUACAAGCUCAUCUACAUGCCUUCAUAAUUCUGUUUCUGCCAUGUAUGAAUCGGUAAUAUAACUUGCCAUGUUUACGUGGGUGCCAUCAUAUUUUAUGUUCCUUUUUGGCUCAUGUUCAGUAAAGGAAUUUUGUUCUAUGCAAUUAGUAGAUUCAUGCCAUGACUUUGUUUGCCAUGUUAAGUUCCUGUAACAUAUUGUUUGAUAGCUCUAAACAUUGCAACCUGAUGUUAUUUCCUGCAAAGUCUGAACUGUUAUUAUUUGCAAUCUUGCCAUGUGUGUUUGAGGAUGUUCUAGUAGUUUCUGGAGAUAGCUCAGUGUUCAUGUCUUGUUAUGUUUUACCUGUACUUCAUGCCCAUGUAUUUUGUUCCCAUGUUGAGAUGUUGUAGCAUGUUGCUUUGAUGCUUGCAAUAUGCCUAGUUGCUCUUUUGGACAGCUUGUCCUUUAAACUUUUAUAGUGUGCAUGUGUUGAACCGUUGCUCCGUUUUGAGUGUGCUCUAUAUGAAACUUGCUUAGAAUUGCAUGUAGCUUCAUAUUAUCAUGUUGCACACUUGUUUUGGUGUGUUUGCUUGAUGUUUGUAUGCAUUUAGCAUCAAUGCCAUGUUUAACUUGUUUUGCUCAUAUCUUCUAGGCCGUAGCUCCGAACUAAAUGAACUUUAUAUGUAACUUGACUAGAAUCUCGUGUAGAUCAUCUUGGUGUAUCUUAACUUGCUGUGUAACAACUUUAACAUAAGGGUUGUUCAGAUCUGGACCAAUUUCGAAAUUUGCAUAUGAGGACUUACCGGAAUUGUUAUAUGUUGUUCCCGGCCUCAUUUAAACUUGCCUUGAUGUGUUGCUCUUGUUUGCAUCAUCUCUUGCCAUGAGUAGCUUCAUGUAGCUUUGUCAUGCAUCAUAAUAGUUGUGCAUCAUGUCUCGUUUAUGUGUGGAGUGUUUACUAUGUUGUGUGCUUCUUCUCGAUACUUCCUGUUUCGUUGCGAUCGUGAGGAUUCGUUCGUCUAUGCUUGGUUCGUCUUCAUGGCUUCAUCCGUUCGUCUUCUUCAUGGACUCGAUCUUCUUCCUUGCGGGAUGUCAGGCAAGAUGACCGCUACCCUGGAUCUCACUACUAUCGUUGCUAUGCUAGUUGCUUCGUUCUAUCGCUUUGCUGUGCUACCUAUCACCUGUUUAUCAAGCCUCCCCAUAUUGCCAUGAACCUCUAACCUUUGACACCUUCCCUAUGGAAACUGUUGUUUUGGCUAUGUUACCGCUUUUCUCAGCCCUCUUAUAGCGUUGCUAGUUGCAGGUGAAGUUGAAGAUUGCUCCAUGGUGGACAGGAUUUUGGUUGGGAUAUCACAAUAUCUCUUAUAUUAUUAAUGCAUCUAUAUACUUGGUAAAGGGUGGAAGACUCGGCCUUUUGCCUGGUGCUUUGUUCCACUCUUGCCGCCCUAGUUUCCAUCAUACCGGUGUUAUGUUCCCGGAUUUUGCGUUCCUUACGCGGUCGGGUGAUUUAUGGGACCCCCUUGACAGUUCGCUUUGAAUAAAACUCCUCCAGCAAGGCCCAACCUUGGUUUUACCAUUUGCCUCACCUACCCCUUUUUCCCUUGGGAGUCACGCAUCCCGAGUGUCAUCUUUAUUUUAGCCCCCCCGGGCCAGUGCUUGUCUAAGUGUUGGUACGAACUAGAGCCCUUUGCAGCGCCCCCUCAGGAAAACUUGAGGUCUGGUUUUAGUUGUACGGAUUGCUCAUCCGGUGUUGCCCUGAGAACGAGAUAUGUGCAGCUCCUAUCGGGAUUGUCGGCGCAUCGGGCGGUCUUGCUGGUCUUGUUUUACCAUUGUCGAAAUGUCUUGUAAACCGGGAUUCCAAGUCUGAUCGGGUCUUCCUAGGAGAAGGUAUAUUCUUCGUUGAUCGCGAGAGCUUAUCAUGGGCUAAGUUGGGACACCCCUGCAGGGUAUAAUCUUUCGAAAGCCGUGCCUGUGGUUAUAGGCAGAUGGGAAUUUGUUAAUGUCCAGUUGUAGAUAACUUGACAUCAGAUCCGAAUUAAAACGCAUCAACCGCGUGUGUAGCCGUGAUGGUCUGUUUUCGGCGGAGUCCGGGAAGUGAACACGGUCUUUGGGUUAUGUUUGACGUAAGUAGGAGUUCAGGAUCACUUAUUGAUCAUUGCUAGCUUCACGACCAUUCCGCUUGUUCUCUUCUCGCUCUUAUUUGCGUAUGUUAGCCACCAUAUAUGCUUAGUCGUUGUUGCAGCCUCACCACUUUACCCCUUCCUUUCCCUUUAAGCUUUGCUAGUCUUGAUACCCAUGGUAAUGGGAUUGCUGAGUCCUCGUGGCUCACAGAUUACUACAACAACAGUUGCAGGUACAGGUUAUGCGAUGAUCAUGAUGCGAGAGUGAUGUUGACUUGUUUGGAGUUCUUCUUCUGCUUCUUCUUCGAUCAGGGGAUAGGUUCCAGGUCGGCAGCCUGGGCUAGCAGGGUGGAUGUCAUUUGAGUUUCUGUUUGUGUUUCAUCCGUAGUCGGAUGUUGAUCUUAUGUAUUGUGAUGUUGUAUUCGUGUGGCAUUGUAUGCCUCUUGUAUGUAUCCCCAUCUAUUAUGUAAUGUUGAUGUAAUGAUAUCCACCUUGCAAAAGCGUUUCAAUAUGCGGGUCUAUCCUUGGUGGGACCUUCGAGUUCCUUUUGGAUAGGGUCGCAUAUUGGGCAUGACAAGUUGGUAUCAGAGCCUCGACCGACCUUAGGAGCCCCCCUUGAUUGAUCGUGUAGUUUGGCCGUUCUUGAGUCUAGAAGAAAACUUUUUUGGAGUCUAGUUAUAUCGGAGAGUAGGAAUUCUUUUUACUCCUCAGCCCCUUCGUCGCUCUGGUGAGGAAUCUUGACGUAGGUGUUUUGAAAUACUCCUCUUCCCCUUCAAAUUUUCUUUAGGUUCACGCAGUUGGUUUUCCGAUCGUUGGUUCUCAGCUCUUUUCAUCCGGUGCAAUUUCUCGUCAAGUCAACUCGAGCCUCUUCAUCUUGAGUUCAAUCCUCAGUUGUUUCUUUCCCACCCGCCCACCCUUUUUCAUCUCGGAACCGGAGUCCGUAAUCGAGUAUCCAUCCUACUCGUGCGAAGCCUUUGCUUUCUUUCAACCGGUGCUUUCUCUUCAAGAUAUUCGUCGAUUUCCCCUUCUAAGAUGAUUUUGUUUUCCCGCCCUCCCACCCUUUUUCUUCCCGGAGCCUGAGUCUGUCUCGACCAUCUAUCUCAUUUGUGCGGAGCUUCUUCAGCUUUUCGUCAAUUGUUUCAACCGGUGAAUUCUCAUUUUGUUCGACAUUCUUCAGCUCUUUUUCUUUCCGGUGGAUUCAAUUCAAGUUUUUCGGUAGAUCAUAUCCUUUUUCCUCGAAGUGUAUUCCCUGCUCGUUUGUCUCUCGCUAGUUUAUCCUUCCGGAGUGUUCAAGUCAGCUCAGGAGAUUCGUUUGUGUUCCAAUUAAUUCGAGGUUGUCACCUCAUUCAAAUAUUUCAAUUGUUCCGGUGCACCAUCUAUCUUUUCAACAAUCCUUUUCAACGGUGCUUCUUUUCAGUGGGCCCUAACCCACAGGUUUUUUUCCCAGGAUCUUACCUGACUCUACUGAUUCCCCUGGAGUUAUUCUCAAUUCUUUUCAAGCGUGACGUAAGAAUGGAUCCCAUCAGUCACAUGUCUUCUCCAAGAUCGCGUUCAAACUCUUUUCAUUGUUGGCUCAACCUCUUCGCUUUUCGUUCUCCCGGAGUAUCUCAGUAAUUUUGGUGGUGUUUCUCGACAUCAUUUGAAGACCGAAGAAGAGUUUUCCUCUAAGUCUUGUCUGUUCUCUCGAAGAUUCAUGGUUCUAGCUUCAUAUCAUCCUCUCGAAUUAUUCCAAUCGUCAGAUAUUCUUUUCUUACCCAUCCGGAGUAUGUCAGAAGUUGUUUUCCUGUUUCUUUUCACCGGAGGCCAUCGUUCCAGAAGUAUUCUUCGUCCUUACAUUUCAGCUACCGUUAUCCAGUUAUCCCGGUGCUUCGUUCAAGUGUUCUUUAAUCAGCUCAUGAUCUCUUUGUUCUUUUGUAUCUAAAUCCCCUCAAGCAUAUUUGUUCUUCUAAUUCUUCUCGUUGUUUCAGCCCCUUUCAUCAGUCAUUUCUGAAUUCUUACGGUGGUUCGUUCAAGAUUCUUUUUCCUUGAUUAUCAUUUUAAUCCAUUCGUUUUUUUUUCGAAUCCUACCGGUGGUUCAUGAAGACUUUCUCAAGUUUUCUGCUAUCCCUUCUCAAUCCUUUUCAAGAAGAAUAAGUAGUAUAAAGAAUCCAUUGCUCGUCAUCAAUUUAUUUUGAUGAAGGAUAAGCAUACAAUAAAUCUUAUUCUUAUUUCAUCCAAGUGUUUAAUUCCUUUCUUCGGAGUUUGUUCUUGAUGAAUAAAUUCUAGUUCCAAGUGUUUUCAUCUUUUCUUUUCCGGAGUUCAAAUUUCCUCAGUCAUUUCGUCGGAACCUCCACCUAAGUCAUCGCAAGGCUUUAAUCUUAUUCUUUCAUCCUUCAAUUUUAUCCCGUCAUUCUUUUGUUUACCGGAGUUCUUCAUGGUGGUUCUUCAGGAUUCAAUCCAUUCGUCAAGUGUUCAUCAAGAUUCUUGUUGGUGGAGUUCAAUUAUCUUUUCUUCUUGCAUCUCAAAGUGCAAUUAAUUCUCCGUAUUCUUUUGAAGUGGAGUUUUGCAUUUCUUCGUUCUUCUAAGCUGUACAAUCAUUUCCGUUUGUGGUCGGUUAUCACCUCAUAAUCUUGAGAUGUUACUUCGAAGUCCACAUCAAGCUUAUUCUUUCGUUGUUGAUUUUCUCAACAACUCCAUUCAAUCCUUCCUUCUAAGUUCUUUUCAUUUCUAUUUCAUUCUUCCGGAGGCUUUGCGUUGUUCAUCUCAUCAAGUGUCAUCCCAUCUUGUGAAGCUCAUGCUCUAUUCUUUCCAUGUUCAGCCAGAGUGCUGCCUAAAUCCUUUCAGUCUUAUUCAUUUCCUAUCUCGUUUUAACCGGAGUGGUUUCAUAGUCUAUCUGAUUCCGUGAGCUUUCGAUUCUUGUCAUUCUCGUCGUUCCUCUCUUCUUCUCGAGUGCUCUCGAUUCUUUGCUUCUUCUCUUGAGUUCUUGUUUCACCUCUUCCUUUUUCUCUUCCGUCUCGGUCCUAAGAUCUCGGGACGAGAUCUCUUGUUAGUGGAGGAGUGUUGUAACGCCCCGGUUUCGUUGCGCCAGGUGUCUGCCAGUUAUUCGCCGUCAUUGCCAUGUCAUUUGCUUGCAUGUUGCAUUUUAUCAUGUCAUCAUGUGCAUUUCAUUUUGCAUACGUGUUCGUCUCAUGCAUCCGAGCCUUUUCCCCGUUGUCCGUUUUGCAAUCCGGCGCUCCUAUGCCCUCCGGCGUUCCCCUUUUGUCUCUCGUUGUGAGCGGGUGUUAAAUGUUCUCGGAAUGGACCGAGUCUUGCCAAGCGGCCUUGGUAUACCACCGGUAGACCGCCUGUCAAGUUUUGUGCCAUUUGGAGUCCGUUUGGUACUCCAACGGUUAACCGCGUAGCCCGAAACCCCCCUUUCUCUUUGCAGCCCAACACCCUUCCAAAGUGUCCCAAAACCCAUCUAAGUCCCCUCCAUGCUCUCGGUCAUUCGAUCACGAUCGUGUGGGCGAAAACCACUCCUCAUUUGGACUCUCCUAGCUCCUAGAAUCUAUAUAUAGGCCCUCUCCCCCGAAAUUUCGCAGACGAAACCCUAGCCCCUUCUCCAACGCGCCGCCGGACAUGUCCAUCCGCGCCGGACAUGUCCGCCGGACACGUCGCCCGGCCCAAUCAGGGCGUGCCACGUCAUCGCGCCGCCGCCCCCGACCAACCAGCGCCUGCCACGUGUCGAUCGCGCCUCUCUCUCCUCCCCGNNNNNNNNNNNNNNNNNNNNNNNNNNNNNNNNNNNNNNNNNNNNNNNNNNNNNNNNNNNNNNNNNNNNNNNNNNNNNNNNNNNNNNNNNNNNNNNNNNNNNNNNNNNNNNNNNNNNNNNNNNNNNNNNNNNNNNNNNNNNNNNNNNNNNNNNNNNNNNNNNNNNNNNNNNNNNNNNNNNNNNNNNNNNNNNNNNNNNNNNNNNNNNNNNNNNNNNNNNNNNNNNNNNNNNNNNNNNNNNNNNNNNNNNNNNNNNNNNNNNNNNNNNNNNNNNNNNNNNGCCGUCGCGGCGCACCGCGCCUUCCCCGCCGCCUGGGCGGAGCGCCGCGCCCGCCGCCGGCCGGAUCCGGCUGGAUCCGGUCCGGGGCCAUCUCCCCGCAUCGCCCGCGACCUCCCCCGUUAACUCCGGUGAGCUCCAGCACCCUGCUCCGGCGAACCCCGAUCUCGAUCUGAGAUCCGACAAGGUUAACUUUCCCCCUCCAAAAUUCGUCUAAGUCCCGAAUAUUUUUUUGUCAUUAUCAUGCCAAGUUCAUCGCAUCGUAUCUCUGCAUCCGUAGCACCACUUUGUGCGUGUAAUAUGUCCAAUUGUUCGCCUCAACGAGUACAUCAUUUCAUUCCAUUGCACCAUAUUCAUUUGAGGUCAUUUAGAUGCCUGAAUCAUCGUUGUAAGAGUGCUUCAUGAUGUUUUCUGCUGUCUGUUAACAGAACGAGCUCUUUUGUCAUUUUUGCCAUGAUUGAUGUGUGCAUCCUAUGAGGUUGAUGUCUACAUGUGUUUUGAUCUAUGCCAUGUCAUAUUUAUAGUGGUGUAUGCCAUGUAUUUUUGUGAUUAAUGUGGUGACUAGCACAAGCAUGCAAACUAGGCAUCGUGAUGUUGCUGAUUUUAGUCUCUGUUCUGCUGUUAUUUUGAUGCCAUGUAAACAUGAUGCUACAGAGAGAUCCAUGCAUAUUUUGAGAUACUUCAGUAAGGGUGUUUUGAACAUAUGGUUGUUGUCUAUCCAUUUAUGCCCUUGGUUGCAAUUAUGGAGUAGUCUAGCAUGUCUUUUUCGUGCUCUACUUUUGCUUCAAAAUGUUUCCUGGCAGAUUGUUUACGUGUUAUUCAAUUUUGCCAAGGUUGUUGUAGUUGAUCCUUGCAUGAUAUGAACUUGUUCUUACCUUUAUUUGUUUCACAAACAUGUCUUCUUACUGUUGGUUGCCUUGCCAUGCCAUGUAUUGCUCUGUGGUGAGUGGUACAAGCUCAUCUACAUGCCUUCAUAAUUCUGUUUCUGCCAUGUAUGAAUAUGUAAUAUUACUUGCCAUGUUUACGUGGGUGCCAUCAUAUUUUAUGUUCCUUUUUGGCUCAUGUUCAGUAAAGGGCUUUUGUUCUAUGAAAUUAGUAGAUUCAUGCCAUGCCUUUGUUUGCCAUGUUAAGUUCUUGUAACAUAUUGUUUGAUAGCUCUAAACAUUGCAACCUGAUGUUAUUUCCUGCAAAGUCUGAACUGUUAUUAUUUGCAAUCUUGCCAUGUGUGUUUGAGGAUGUUCUAGUAGUUUCUGGAGAUAGCUCAGUGUUCAUGUCUUGUUAUGUUUUACCUGUACUUCAUGCCCAUGUCUUUUGUUCCCAUGUUGAGAUGCUGUAGCAUGUUGCUUUGAUGCUUGCAAUAUGCCUAGUUGCUCUUUUGGACAGCUUGUCCUUUAAACUUGUAUAGUGUGCAUGUGUUGAACCGUUGCUCCGUUUUGAGUGUGCUCUAUAUGAAACUUGCUUAGAAUUGCAUGUAGCUUCAUAUUAUCAUGUUGCACACUUGUUUUGGUGUGUUUGCUUGAUGUUUGUAUGCAUUUAGCAUCAAUGCCAUGUUUAACUUGUUUUGCUCAUAUCUUCUAGGCCGUAGCUCCGAACUAAAUGAAAUUUAUAUGUAACUUGACUAGAAUCUCGUGUAGAUCGUCUUGGUGUAUCUUAACUUGCUGUUUAACAACUUGAACAUAAGGUUUGUUCAGAUCUGGACCAAUUUCGAAAUUUGCAUAUGAGGACUUACCGGAAUUGUUAUAUGUUGUUCCCGGCCUCGUUUAAACUUGCCUUGAUGUGUUGCUCUUGUUUGCAUCAUCUCUUGUCAUGAGUAGCUUCAUGUAGCUUUGUCAUGCAUCAUGCUUGUUGUGCAUCACGUCUUGUUUAUGUGUGGAGUGUUUACUAUGUUGUGUGCUUCUUCUCGAUAGUUCCUGUUUCGUUGCGAUCGUGAGGAUUCGUUCGUCUACGCUUGGUUCGUCUUCAUGGCUUUAUCCGUUCGUCUUCUUCAUGGACUCGAUCUUCUUCCUUGCGGGAUGUCAGGCAAGAUGACCGCUACCCUGGAUCUCACUACUAUCAUUGCUAUGCUAGUUGCUUCGUUCUAUCGCUUUGCUGCGCUACCUAUCACCUGUUUAUCAAGCCUCCCCAUAUUGCCAUGAACCUCUAACCUUUGACACCUUCCCUAUGCAAACCGUUGUUUUGGCUAUGUUACCGCUUUGCUCAACCCUCUUAUAGUGUUGGUAGUUGCAGGUGAAGUUGAAGAUUGCUCCAUGGUGGACAGGAUUUUGGUUGGGAUAUCACAAUAUCUCUUAUAUUAUUAAUGCAUCUAUAUACUUGGUAAAGGGUGGAAGACUCGGCCUUUUGCUUGGUGCUUUGUUCCACUCUUGCCGCCCUAGUUUCCGUCAUACCGGUGUUACGUUCCCGGAUUCUGCAUUCCUUACGCGGUCGGGUGAUUUAUGGGAACCCCUUGACAGUUCGCUUUGAAUAAAACUCCUCCAGCAAGGCCCAACCUUGGUUUUACCAUUUGCCUCACCUACCCCUUUUUCCCUUGGGAGUCGCGCAUCCCGAGGGUCAUUUUUAUUUUAGCCCCCCCAGGCCAGUGCUUGUCUAAGUGUUGGUCCGAACUAGAGCCCUUUGCAGCGCCCCCUCAGGGAAACUUGAGGUCUGGUUUUAGUUGUACGGAUUGCUCAUCCGGUGUUGCCCUGAGAACGAGAUAUGUGCAUCUCCUAUCGGGAUUGUCGGCGCAUCGGGCGGUCUUGCUGGUCUUGUUUUACCAUUAUCGAAAUGUCUUGUAAACCGGGAUUCCGAGUCAUAUCGGGUCUUCCUGGGAGAAGGUAUAUCCUUUGUUGAUCGCGAGAGCUUAUCAUGGGCUAAGUUGGGACACCCCUGCAGGGUAUAAUCUUUCGAAAGCCGUGCCUGCGGUUAUAGGCAAAUGGGAAUUUGUUAAUGUCCAGUUGUAGAUAACUUGACAUCAGAUCCGAAUUAAAACGCAUCAACCGCGUGUGUAGCCGUGAUGGUCUCUUUUCGGCGGAGUCCGGGAAGUGAACACGGUCUUUGGGUUAUGUUUGACGCAAGUAGGAGUUCAGGAUCACUUCUUGAUCAUUGCUAGCUUCAUGAUCAUUCCGCUUGUUCUCUUCUCGCUCUUAUUUGCGUAUGUUAGCCACCAUAUAUGGUUAGUCGCUGCUGCAGCCUCACCACUUUACCCCUUCCUUUCCCUUUAAGCUUUGCUAGUCUUGAUACCCAUGGUAAUGGGAUUGCUGAGUCCUCGUGGCUCACAGAUUACUACAACAACAGUUGCAGGUACAAGUUAUGCGAUGAUCAUGACGCGAGAGCGAUGUUGACUUGUUUGGAGUUCUUCUUCUGCUUCUUCUUCGAUCAGGGGAUAGGUUCCAGGUCGGCAGCCUGGGCUAGCAGGGUGGAUGUCAUUUGAGUUUCUGUUUGUCUUUCAUCCGUAGUCGGAUGUUGAUCUUAUGUAUUGUGAUGUUGUAUUCGUGUGGCAUUGUAUGCCUCUUGUAUGUAUCCCCAUCUAUUAUGUAAUGUUGAUGUAAUGAUAUCCACCUUGCAAAAGCGUUUCAAUAUGCGGGUCUAUCCUUGGUGGGACCUUCGAGUUCCUUUUGGAUAGGGUCGCAUAUUGGGCGUGACAAAAGUCCUUGGAGAAAUCUGGUGGUACCAGUACAGGAGCAGAUGUCAGGCGUCUUUUCAGUUCCUGAAAGCUGUGCUCACACUGUGGGGUCCACUUGAACUUUUUAUCUCUCUUGAGGAGUUCAGUUAGAGGUUUAGCAACUUUGGAGAAGUUCUCGACAAAGCGGCGACAAUAGCUCGCUAAGCCAAGGAAACUCCGAACUUGCUUGUCCGAUUCAGGUGGAGUCCAAUUAAGAAUGGCUUGAACUCAUUUGGGAUUGACAACAAUACCCUUACCAGAGAUUACAUGGCCUAGAUAGGUCACUUCUGGCAACCAAAAUUCGCAUUUAGAAAUUUUGGCAUAAAGGCGAUGCUCUCGAAGUUUCAUCAACACAAGCCUUAGAUGCUCGACAUGUUCUGCCUCAUUCUUGGAGUAGAUGAGUAUAUCAUCGAGGUAAACCACGACGAGUUUAUCCAAGUACUCCAUGAAGAUUGAGUUCAUUAACCGAGAGAAAGUGGCUGGGGCAUUGGUUAGACCGAAGGGCAUGACGAUGUACUCGUAUUGGCCAUAACGAGUAACAAAGGCCAUUGUGGGAAUGUCCCGUUCUUGAUUUUGAUUUGAUGGUAGCCCAACCUCAAAUCCAUCUUAGAAAAGACUGAGGAUCUAGCGAGCUGAUCAUACAGGUCGUUGAUCCCGGGGAGCGGAUACUUGUUCUUUAUUGUGAUCAAGUUGACGGGUCGAUAAUCUACAACCAUCCGAACCGUACCAUCCUUCUUCUUGACGAAGAGGACGGGACAAGCCCAUGGAGAUGAACUAGGACGGAUGAAACCCUUUUUCAAGGACUCAUCGAGUUUUUUCUUAAGCUCGGCUAGUUCUAGUGGUGCCAUCUUAUAGGGUAUUCUAGAAAUUUGGACAGUUCCUGGAAUAAGAUCUAUCAUGAACUCGACAUCUCGGUCAGGUGGAACACCUGGCAAUUCUUCUGGGAAGAUGUACAGAAAGUCACGGACUACCGGAACGUCUUUGACGUCUGGCAAAGGACUGGCAUUAAGAGAAUAUAGCUGUCGCUUAGCCACUCGGGUCAAGACAUUGACUAUCUCGCCCGAUGGAUGUGUAAGUUGAACAGUCCUAGAGAAGCAAUCAAUCUUGGCAUGAUGGGCUGACAUCCAGUCCAUACCCAAGAUGAUAUUAAUAUCCGAAGAUUUGAGAGCUAUUAAUGAUGCAAGGAAAACAAGUCUGUCGACCUAAAUUUCAUUCCCAUGGCUUACUCUAGAGGUUUGCCAUCUAGAACCAGGAGUAUAAAUUUCCAUGGUGGAAGGCAUGUCACAGAAUGCGGUGUUAUGCAAACGAGCAUAGUUUUCGGAUAUGAAUGAAUGAGAUGCUCCAGUAUCGAAAAGAACAGAUGUCAGAUGGCAAUUAACAAGGAGCGUACCGAGAACGAUGUUAGGAUCCUCCUGAGCCUGUUCAGCUGAGACACAGUUCACAUGGCCACAUGCAACGGUGGCCGACUUGGCGUAGUACACCUUCCCUGUUGGCUUGCCAUGGCCAACAGCCUUUCCAGACUGGUUGGGGUUGGUCUGGGAACACUCUCGCAUGUAGUGGCCCAGUUCUCCACACUUGAAACACGUCACAGAGCUGGUGCGUGGAGGAGCAAUGUUGGUUGAUCCACCAUAGGACUUAGCUGGUGCAUACUGCUGAGCUGGACGAGGCGCCUGAUAGGAUGGCCUCGGUGUGAACCUCGGUGGCAGGGCGGUGUUAGGCACCCACACCCGGUGCUUCUGAGGACCAGAACCGGAUGAGGAACCCGUGUCACGACCAUGCUUGCGUGUUGCUUCGAAAUCAGUUUGACCUGUCUCAGCACUGAUGGCCUUGUUCACAAGCUUCUGGAAGGAAGCACAUUCGUGCAGACGGAGAUCAUGGUGAAGCUCGGGGCUAAGCCCCUUGCGGAACCUUGCCUGCUUCUUGGCAUCGGUGGAAACUUCUUCAGUUGCAUAGCGUGCUAGGUUACCGAACUCCCUGCUGUAUGCAUCCACAGAGAGUCUACCUUGGGUGAAACUGCAAAAAUCCUCACGCUUGCGAUCCAUAAGACCUUCCAGAAUGUGAUGUUCAAGGAAAGCAUCACUGAAUUCUGCCCAAGUAGUGACCUGGCCAGCUGGGCGCAUGGCCUCAUAGUUCUCCCACCAGAGACUGGCGGGGCCUUCAAGAUGAUAGGCAGCAAAAGUGACCUUAUCAGCCUCAGCUACGAGUGCAAAAUGUAGCUUGUGGGUAAUGCUGCAAAGCCAAUCAUCAGCGUCGAGGGGCUCGACAGAGUGAUGGAAGGUGGGUGGAUGGAACUUGAUGAAGUCACUGAGCGACACCAAGUUAUUCCUCUGGUGCAGAGAUGUGUUCUGUUCGAUGCGUUCCAGCAAACAGUUAGUCUCCCAUUUGUUCCUCUCGGCCUCCAGCAUGACCUUAGCCAGAGAAGGAGGAAGAGGCAGGUUCGCACCUCCAGGUCCACUGCCUUCAGCCUGCUCCGGGGGAGCAGGGUUGUUGCGGGUGUUGACCAUCCUAGGAAAACAAGACAAUGGUUUAGUCCAGAAUGAUAAGAUUCGGACAUAGAAAUCCAGAAUGUAAGGGAUAACUCGGAAUGCAAGAUGAUCAUCCGUAUGACAUGGUAAGUACAGAAACUGCUACAUUUAUUCCAUCGUCAAACACACCAUACAAGGUUUAGUACAAGACCAAACUGAGUACAACUGCGGUGAUAGGAAGAUUACAUCUCAUCGGAGGCAUCCCAAGCUCCUAUUAAUUAUUUUUCUACACCUCCGGAAUGUGGUACACACUAAGUCAUAUCCCACGAGUCACGCAGGACGGUGGAUGAUAUAACUGUUACAAUACUAGUGGUGCUACCAUUAGCUCAGACAUUUCCGUAGUAAUCUUCAUAGAGAUUACCCCCAUGUCCUGGAAGCUGGACGUGAUCAUCUGGAAACAGUCGAUCCUGUGGAGCCUGCGGUCCAUAAGGACUCGGAUGUGGCUUGGGUCCAACAAACGGCGGCAGACGAGGUCCACGGGGAGGAGUGAUGCCCCCUACAUCACGCCAAUCCAUACGAUCCGGCAGACUAGACCACACGGGGUAUAGAUCCCGCAUAUCCAUAUACCCUGCCUGCACAGCAGGUGCAACGCGGGUUAAAGUGGCCCAGUGACCAGACCGGGAGUUGAAAAGCUCCAAUCGCAAGGCACGAUUUUCGCGGUUCUUAUCUUCAAGCAUCUGUGUGGUAGUGCGAAGUAGCGAAUCCUCAUCAGAAGAGUCGGCGUAAAUAGCUGUGAAGUAACCUUCUUCCCCAGGGAGUGAUGCUGGCAUAUAGCCGAAGUCAGUGUUCCGAAGCAAGGCAGUUCUAGCCCGCAUAAUAGUCAUCAUCAAAUAAGCGGUGUCCUGCACGGACAUCUCGAUGGUAACCCCAAGUCCAGAUGAGCAAUGGAGGGGUUCAGUGGAUCCAGGAUAGGAAGGGAAUAUCCUGACUAUGCAGAGGUAUUGGCUUUGAUUGAAAUCUCUAUACUACUCCUCAACGGUGUACUCGGGAUACCAUCAGUAACCAGCCUCGAUCAUUACGCGGACCAACAUAGCAGUAUGGCCAGGUACAUCGAGACACUGAGUCAUACGAACAACUUGAUUCUGGGUGCGGGAUGCCAUCUGAAACACGAUGUAAUGCAAAGACAUUAGAAUUUCUAGCAGAAAUUGGACAGCAUAACAGCUGUAGAUGCUCAAAAAAGAUUUUGAGACACUUUGCAAAGGAUUGCAUAGACACUCAACAACAUCAUAUCAAGGUUCUAGGUCCAUCUUAUCAACAUAAUGUGGUAGUAGAACUGAACUAGGCUUGUAUCCAUCAAUCCUAUAAGGUACUACUAAUUAGUAACACGUGAACCUAAUAGAGAGAAGAGAUCCUAAUCCUUAACCCCCAGUGGAAAGAAUGGACUGACUCAGAUCAGAAUGCCAUGAGGUAAAGGAAUAAAAAGAACCUUACGUUCCAUCCCACAAUCAAUUCCCCUACAUAAUUAAAGCAUUUCUAGACUCAACAUCGACCAGUUUGGCUUGGAGAACCUACAUGCAGUCCGGCUCUGAUGCCAACGCUAUCAGGACCCCGACUCAAUGUCACAUCGAUCUAGCAUGUAACACCUCAUAUUACUUUGCGGCCUCAUGCACGGUAUUCCCACGGGUGUCGCCUUACCUUGCCCGGGACCGUUUGCGCCUUUUGGCACACGUAUAUGAUAGUGUCGCUAGCAUCCAUAUGACAAGGAGCCCGGGCUGACAUGGCUAGUCGUGAACCCAAAGUGGCACUAACUUACAGGGAUAGGCAUACAUGACCCAGCAAUGAACGUGUCGGUCAUCAACGAGUGAAUCCAGGCUGUAGCAUUGGGCUAGUAGGACUCCGGUAAACCGGGCUGUAGCGGGCUAACAGGACUCCGGUAGUCAUCGCUUGACAUUUCCCUGUAGGCAUAGACACAUGAACGAAGAAGGACACAUGCCGGCCAACCUAAGUGUUCCGGAGCAGUAGCAUGCUACCAUGGCUCAGUGGAAGCACUAGGGGACAUUUCCUGGUAAGAGAGGCUACCAAGGAUAAACAACUAGAUAGUCAGAUCCCACACAUACCAAGCAUUUCAAUCAUACACACAAUAUGCUCGAUGUGUGCAAAUACAACAUGGCAUCACAACAUGACUCUACAACUCAAGUACUUUAUUUAAAGGCUCAGAGAGCCAUACAUAUCAUACACACAAGUACGGAUCACACGACCCAUCAUUCAACUCAUACAAACAUACAAGCCAACAACAGAAGUAACUUGUCUGAGUACAGGCAACUAGGAAAUAAAAGAGGCUUGAGAAAGCUUGACUAUACUACACGGUCCAUCGUGAGCUCAG